rnacentral:rRNA from 1 species
GAUGAACGCUGGCGGCGUGCUUAACACAUGCAAGUCGAACGGAAAGGCCCUGCCUUUGUUGGGUGCUCGAGUGGCGAACGGGUGAGUAACACGUGGGUAACCUGCCCUUCACUUUGGGAUAACUCUAGGAAACUGGGGCUAAUACCGGAUAGGACCUCCUGCUGCUUGUUGUGGUGUAGAGAUUUUCGGCGGUGGGGGAUGGUCUCGCGGCAUAUCCGCUUGUUGGUGGGGUAGUGGCGUACCAGGGCUUGGACGGGUCGGCGGCCUGAGCGGGUGACCGGCCACAUUGCUACGGAGAGAGGGCCCAGACGGCUACGGGAGGCAGCAGGGGGGAGGAUGACUGAAUGAGCGGAGGCCGGAUGAAGCAGCGACGCGUGCGGGAUGAUGGCGUUCUGGGGGUAAACAACUUUUUCCGGAAAAGAAGAGUGAGGGACGGUAAUGGGUAAAGAAGCACCGGCUAACUACGUG